GAGGAGGCAUGACAAAUUUAUUAUUUACAUGUUUUAAUAACUGUAUUUAUUAUAUGUGUGUCUUCUGUCAGAUCCUGAACAGCUGUCUCAAAGUUAUUGAGGAGAGAGUAGGUGGUGUGUUUGCCGCAAACAGCCAUGUCACUGCUACUUGGUUUCCACCACUUUCACUGAACCCCAUGAAUCACCUGCUGGAAAAUGCAACAAGUCUGGAGUGGAUCAUUCUUCCAGUAUUUGAACCUGGACAUUGGACACUUUGUAAACAUUGCUCAGAUCCUGUCCCCUGGAUCUUGGAGGACUUUUGGUGUGGAUGAUAAGG